UCAGCAGCCGCGGUAAGACAGAGGGUGCAAACGUUGUUCGGAAUUACUGGGCGUAAAGCGCGUGUAGGCUGCUUGGAAAGUCGGAUGUGAAAGCCCUGGGCUCAACCCAGGAAGUGCAUUCGAAACUCCCGAGCUCGAGUACCGGAGAGGAAGGCGGAAUUCUCGGUGUAGAGGUGAAAUUCGUAGAUAUCGAGAGGAACACCUGUAGCGAAGGCGGCCUUCUGGACGGUUACUGACGCUGAGACGCGAAAGCGUGGGGAGCAAACAGGAUUAGAUACCCUGGUAGUCCACGCCGUAAACGAUGGGUGCUAGGUGUCGCGGGCUUUGACCCCUGCGGUGCCGUAGCUAACGCAUUAAGCACCCCGCCUGGGGAGUACGGCCGCAAGGCUAAAACUUAAAGGAAUUGGCGGGGGAU
rnacentral:rRNA from 1 species